UACGGGGGGGGCAAGCGUUGUUCGGAAUUACUGGGCGUAAAGGGCUCGUAGGUGGCCAACUAAGUCGGAUGUGAAAUCCCCAGGCUCAACCUGGGAACUGCAUCCGAUACUGGAUGGCUUGAAUUCGGGAGAGGGAUGCAGAAUUCCAGGUGUAGCGGUGAAAUGCGUAGAUAUCCGGAGGAACCCCAGAGGCGAAGGCGGCGCCCUGGCUCGCAACUGACGCUCAGACACGACAGCAUGGGGAGCGAACGGG
rnacentral:rRNA from 1 species